UUUUUUUUUUUUUUUUGUCUUUUUGCCUUUUCUAGGGCCACUUCCUGCGGCAUAUGGAGGUUCCCAGGCUAGGGGUCAAAUUGGAGCUGCAGCCGCUAGCCUACGCCAGAGCCACAGCAACGCGGGAUCCAAGCCAUGUCUGCAACCUACACCACAGCUCAUGGCAAUGCCGGAUCGUUAACCCGCUGAGCAAGGGAAGGGAUCAAGCCCGCAACCUCAUGGUUCCUAAUCAGAUUCAUUAACCACCGCAGCACGACAGGAACUCCGUUGUUUUUGUUUUUUUUUUGUCUUUUGUCUUUUUAGGGCUGCACCCUCAGCAUGUGGAGGUUCCCAGGCUAGGGGUUGAAUUGGAGCUGAAGCCACCAGCCUACGCCACAGCCAAAGCAACACCAGAUCCAAGCCAUGUCUAACCUACACUACAGUUCACAGCAAUGCAAGAUCCUUAAUCCACUGAGCAAAGUCAGGGAUCGAACUCACAUCCUAAUGGAUACUAGUCUAGUUCAUUAACUGCUGAGCCACAACACAAACUCUGAUGCAGUGGCUUCUUUACUUCUACAAGCCUUUGCAUGCAUUGUCACUCCCAUCUCUGUCCCCACAGGACUUGGGGAAGGAGUUUAGGGCACAGUUAAGAGUGCAGGUUCUGCCCCCUAAACUGUUGAUGGGAAGGUAAGUUGACAUAGCCACUAUGGAAAACAUUAUAGACAUUCCUCAAAAAACUAAAAAAGAAGGAGUUCUCUUGUGGUACAGCAGACUAAGGAUCCAUCAUUGCCACUGUAAGUGGCUUGGGUCACUACUCUGGCGGGGGAUUCGAUCCCUAGCCCAGGAAUUUCAUAAUGCUGCAGGUAUGGCCAAAAAUAAGUAAAUAAAAAGAGUUUCCGUAUGAUCCAGCAAUCCCACUCCUGGAUAUAUAUCCUGAAAAACUAUAAUUCAAAAAGAUACGUGUACCCCUAUUUUCAUAGCAGCACUAUUCACAAUAGCCAAGAUAUGGAAACAACCUAAAUGUCCACUGACAGAUGAAAUGGAUAAAGAUGUGGUACAUAGACACAAUGGAGUAUUACUUAGCCAUAAAAAAGAAUGAAAUAAUGCCAUCUGCAGCAACAUGGAUGGAACCAGAGAUCAUCCGACUAAGUAAGUCAGAAAGAGAAAAGACAAAUACCAUACGAUAUCACUUACAUGUGGAAUCUAAAAUAUGACACAAAGUCAGCCUAACUACGAAACAGAAACAGACUCAGAGAACAGACUUGUGGUUGCCAAGGUGGGUGGUGGGGAAGCAGGAGGUGGGGAGAGGGAUGGAGAGUCUGGGGUUAGCAGAUACAAACUAUUAUACAGAGAAGGGAUAAACAAGGUCCCACGGUAUAGCACAGGGAACUAUAUUCAGUAUCCUGUGAUAAACCAUCAUGGAAAAUAAUAUUUUUAAAAAAGAAUAUAUAGAUUUGUAUAAGUGAGUCACUUUGCUACACAGGAGAAAUUAGCAUAAUAUUGUAAAUCAACUGCAGUUUAAUAAAAAAUGUAAAACGAGGAAUUCCUUUCUGGUGCAGUGAGUUAAGGAUCUGGCAUUGUCACUACGGCAGCCUGGGUCACUGCUGUAGUGUGGAUUUGACCCCUGGCCUGGAAACCUUCACAUGCCAUAGGCUUGGCCAAAAAAAAGGAAAACAGGAUUUUUUUUUGUUUGUUUUUUUAGGGCUGCAUCUGAGGCAUAUGGAGGUUCCCAGAAAUGACAAAAAAGGAAAAAAAGAAAAAAUAAAGUGAUCCCCGUGCCUUCCCCUGGGUCCCUCAAAUUACAGUUCAACUGCACAGACGCCCUCCCCAGCCCUGGGAGCCUCUCCUUUGCAGCCCUUGUCACAGAGGCAGUUUUCCUUUCACCCAAUGGCAAGAUCACUCCUGUUUCCAUUCAUCGUUGUAGGCCAUGCCUGGCAGGGGCAGCGGUGCAGCAGAUAAAUACUCACUGAAUGAACAAGCCUCUUGGUGUGCACACAGGACAAGACAGCGCAGCUGGAUGGAGCCACUCACCUGUCACACAGCUGGUUAAGAACCGUGGUCUUUUGACCCUACCCGGCUUUUUCCAUUAAACUGCCUGAUUCCCUUGUCCCCUUCUGUCCUCAAUGGAAGACUCAAAAUUAAUUCUGGAUUCCUUCUUGCCUGCGGAGACCAGUGACUUGCUCCUACUGCUGGAACUUGGCGGGAGGCCUUUUUCACCUUUGUAAUCACAAAUAGAACAUGCUUUGACAGCGUCCCCCAGCGGCAGCAGGAGGUUCUGGAGAAAGAAAACCCUCAACAUCCUCUUCCUGGUGGCAGGCCACAACAGUGACCUGGUGGCUGAGCGACAGGUGCUGCUGGAGGAAGGGGAAAAGCUGGCUGCCUCUUUGGGCACUCACUACCUUGAGGUAUCAGCCAACAGCAAUGAUGACAUCAAGAGAUCUACGAGGCUGUGAAGAGAGGGGUCAUGGGGUCAAACUCAAAGCGGGAGAGAACAAAAAGCAGGGGCCCACCCCGGACCAAGCCUGAGGAGGCAGAGGCCCAAAGCAGGGCAAGGUGGAUGUGCCCAUGCUGGUGGCCCCUGGGUGGAAGAGCCACGCUCCCAUGGAAUCCUCACAAUCCACCAGAGCUAUGCUGGGCACAAAACAGGAUGAUGCCAGGUGCCACUGAAGGUC
rnacentral:lncRNA from 1 species